ACACGUGGGGGUUCUUGAUUGGAUGCUAAAAUUGAAUUUAAAAUAAGAAACACGGGCCACACUCAAACUCAGCUCAGGUCAACAUUUCAAACGCCACCACCGUGGACCACCGUGUCGGAAAUCGCUUCUGGCGGCAGUGGCCACCAGAAACAAGAAUUUCACACACCAGCGGCCACAUCUCAACCUCCUGAUCACGAAUCCACCCUUCAAUUCAUCUAAAUUCUAUCCUAGGUUCAUAACCAAAGUGAAAUAAUCAAGAGCCCUAAUAAUCAAUCCCUAAAUUAAAUCCUAAUCCUGCAGAUUCGAAAUACCCGGGGUUGGGGCUUUAAACCGCCUCCUUAAGCUCUACAUGUCAGCAACAAGAAGUUGAAGGAAUAAAAAGGUCGAUUCCUACCUGGCCGGAGAUGAAGAUGAGGAUGACGAUGAACAAUGGUGAAUUCCUAUUUCCAGGUUAUAUUGCUGCAAACUGGCUUGUGUUUAGACUGCCCUGAUGAAGGUUUGUCUUGCCUGAUCUCAUAUGGUAGAAUGGCUACACUGUAAGAUCCUUGUGGGGAUUGUAUGGUUUGAAUAUUGGUGUAGGAUCAUUGCACUAAUUUGGUGUUGAGUUUUAGCUUGGCCUGAUGUUAUGCCUUGCUUCAUGAUGUACUACAGCUCAUAGCCUAUUCAUGGCUGUUGGAUUUGGUUACAUGACUUGGAUACCCUGCUGGUAUACUCGUGUGGAUUGGUACUGACUACUGGUUGUACAAGUAUGAUGUAAGCUACCAUGUUGCAUUGUUUUGGAAUUGACAUGUUAGGCUUGUGGCAUUGAAUUGACUUGAUUGGAAGUUUGCUUGGUUUUCUUUGCUAGUUGUUUGGGACCCAAUGCUAUGUCUGGAUGAACUAUUAUAAUGCAUUAAUGAUGUCCAUAAGUUAAUGUGAAUUGUCUGGGUGAAUGGCCUGAAAUAACAGGGUUUGGCAUUGUGGUUCUUUGGCUUGCUCUUGACCGUUGUAACAGAUUUAUUGGCAUGGUAAUGAAGUGGUUUAAUGUGGCAUUGCAACAUGGUUCCACAAUGUUUGGCUUUGGCUAUACUGCAAGUGACGUGUUGUGUUUGUGAUGGUCUUGAUGUACAGUCUUGGUAAUGGCUCAUGUUUGGAUUGCGUUGCAGGUUCUGUUCAUGACUUAUUCUACUGUAGGUGUUGUUAUUGUAUGGAAAUGCAGUGAUGGGGUUUUGACUAUGAGUUUGGUUGUGGAUUGGUUCAGUUCUAGUUUAGGCCUUGUUAUGUUAUGAUUUCUAUUGGCUUGGUAAAUGUAUGUAUCAUUGGUUGUUGUAUUAUGACCGGGUUCUGCAGUAGGGUUAGGACCAUGUUUUUUGUUUUAUACUCCUUGCAAUUUUGACUUGCUUCAUGUGUUCAUGUUUGUGCGCAUGAGACCAAGGCCAUGUUCUGACUUUGGUUCAUGUUUUGACUGCAUACUGACUUAUGAAUGUGUGUUUCAAUGUAGGAAUUCUGACCUGGCUUGUGGUAUGCAUUGCAGGAUUAUCACCAUGUGCAGGAAACUUGUAGGUCUGCAUUGCAAUGUCUCGUUGGGCUAGUGUAUUGAUGAUGCUUCUUUGUUCAGGUCCUGCAAGGUUUGUGGACAUGAACAUGCAUUGGAAACUUGCAUUUGAAGCAAUCAUGAGAGCACACACGGACUUUGGUGAUGAAUCAAGACAAGAUAGAAUGGGAUUAGGUCUAGGUUUGGGAAAUUAGGGUUUUAGGAUUUUAGGGUUGACUUUGGUCAAACUUGACCAACAAGUCAACUGUUGACCAAAGUCAAUAUUUGGUCAAAGUUGUCAUUUCUUGUAAUUUUUAAAACUUGGGAUACUUUCAUGCUUGUAAUGAAUGGAAUUUACAUAUAAUUGGAUUAAAUGGAUUCUUGAA